UACGGAGGGUGCAAGCGCUAUCCGGAUUCACUGGGUUUAAAGGGAGCGUAGGUGGGCAGGUAAGUCAGUGGUGAAAUCUCUGGGCUCAACCCGGAAACUGCCAUUGAUACUAUUUGUCUUGAAUAUUCUGGAGGUAAGCGGAAUAUGUCAUGUAGCGGUGAAAUGCUUAGAUAUGACAUAGAACACCAAUUGCGAAGGCAGCUUACUACACAACGAUUGACGCUGAGGCACGAAAGCGUGGGGAUCAAACAGG
rnacentral:rRNA from 1 species